UCCUUGGUGGCUUGGAGGUUAAAGCGUCUGCCUACAAUGUGGGAGACCCAGGUUUGAUCCCUGGGUUGGGAA
rfam:Ovis aries breed Texel chromosome 2, whole genome shotgun sequence.